UACGUAGGGUGCAAGCGUUGUCCGGAAUUAUUGGGCGUAAAGAGCUCGUAGGCGGUUUGUCGCGUCGGCUGUGAAAACUCGGGGCUCAACCCCGAGCCUGCAGUCGAUACGGGCAAACUAGAGUGUGGUAGGGGAGACUGGAAUUCCUGGUGUAGCAGUGAAAUGCGUAGAGAUCAUGAGGAAGACCAGUGGCGAAGGCGGGUCUCUGGACAGUUCCUGACACUGAGACACGAAGGCCAGGGGAGCAAACGGG
rnacentral:rRNA from 1 species